AAGUCGUAACAAGGUAACCGUAGGUGAACCUGCGGUUGGAUCAUUAAUAAAUUUAUAAUUGAGGGUUUCCUUUUAACUAAGGGACUUUUUCAAUUCAUCCCCUUGUGAACCAAUUUAUUGUAUUUUCGGGUUAAGGUGAGCUCUAGGGCUCCGUAAGCUUUGAAAAAAGAUCUUCCCGGAAAUUUUUAUUAAGCCUUUGUAGUAAUCUUUUUGUCUUUAAAUUUUUUAUGCAAAAUAAAAACAACUUUUGACAACGGAUCUCUAGGCUCUC
rnacentral:misc_RNA from 1 species